GCGAAAGCGACGUUCAACCGCAAAACAAGCAGAGGGGGCUUAGUGGUGGGGUGACUGCGUACCUUUUGUAUAAUGGGUCAGCGACUUAUAUUCUGUAGCAAGGUUAACCGAAUAGGGGAGCCGGAGGGAAACCGAGUCUUAAUUGGGCGUUAAGUUGCAGGGUAUAGACCCGAAACCCGGUGAUCUAGCCAUGGGCAGGUUGAAGGUUGGGUAACACUAACUGGAGGACCGAACCGACUAAUGUUGAAAAAUUAGCGGAUGACCUGUGGCUGGGGGUGAAAGGCCAAUCAAACCGGGAGAUAGCUGGUUCUCCCCGAAAGCUAUUUAGGUAGCGCCUCGUGAAUUCAUCUCCGGGGGUAGAGCACUGUUUCGGCUAGGGGGCCAUCCCGGCUUACCAACCCGAUGCAAACUGCGAAUACCGGAGAAUGUUAUCACGGGAGACACACGGCGGGUGCUAACGUCCGUCGUGAAGAGGGAAACAACCCAGACCGCCAGCUAAGGUCCCAAAGUCAUGGUUAAGUGGGAAACGAUGUGGGAAGGCCCAGACAGCCAGGAUGUUGGCUUAGAAGCAGCCAUCAUUUAAAGAAAGCGUAAUAGCUCACUGGUCGAGUCGGCCUGCGCGGAAGAUGUAACGGGGCUAAACCAUGCACCGAAGCUGCGGCAGCGAACGUAUCACCCAAGACAACUUUACGGAGUUGACGAUUGACGGAGCGAAGCGACGUCAAAGCGUUCAUUAAAGUCGAGUUGGCUUAGGGAUACGUUCGUUGGGUAGGGGAGCGUUCUGUAAGCCUGUGAAGGUGUGUCGUGAGGCAUGCUGGAGGUAUCAGAAGUGCGAAUGCUGACAUAAGUAACGAUAAAGCGGGUGAAAAGCCCGCUCGCCGGAAGACCAAGGGUUCCUGUCCAACGUUAAUCGGGGCAGGGUGAGUCGACCCCUAAGGCGAGGCCGAAAGGCGUAGUCGAUGGGAAACGGGUUAAUAUUCCCGUACUUGGUGUUACUGCGAAGGGGGGACGGAGAAGGCUAUGUUGGCCGGGCGACGGUUGUCCCGGUUUAAGCGUGUAGGUGUGUGUUCCAGGUAAAUCCGGUUCACUUUAACACUGAGGCGUGACGACGAGGCACUACGGUGCUGAAGCAACAAAUGCCCUGCUUCCAGGAAAAGCCUCUAAGCAUCAGGUAACACGAAAUCGUACCCCAAACCGACACAGGUGGUCAGGUAGAGAAUACCAAGGCGCUUGAGAGAACUCGGGUGAAGGAACUAGGCAAAAUGGUGCCGUAACUUCGGGAGAAGGCACGCUGACACGUAGGUGAAGUGAUUUACUCAUGGAGCUGAAGUCAGUCGAAGAUACCAGCUGGCUGCAACUGUUUAUUAAAAACACAGCACUGUGCAAACACGAAAGUGGACGUAUACGGUGUGACGCCUGCCCGGUGCCGGAA
rnacentral:rRNA from 1 species